ensembl:lncRNA
AGACAGCAACAGAAUAGGAUAUGAUGGAGAGAGACACCAGACAAGACACAGAGACAGCAACAGAAGAAUAGGAUAUGAUGGAGAGAGACACCAAACAAGACACAGAGACAGCAACAGAAGAAUAGGAUAUGAUGGAGAGAGACACCAGACAAGACACAGAGACAGCAACAGACGACACAGAGAAAGUGAUGGAGAGAGACAGAAGAAUAGAGUUCCAGACAGUUGUAGAAUGUAUACCAAGGCACAUUGUAAGAGCUAUAAAGAGAGAGGGAGGGAGAGAGAACAGGCAGAACCUGAUAUGUAAAUGAGCAGAGCAAAUGAAACUCACUUUUGACGACCUGAUGAUCAUCCAGACUGUGUUUCUAUUGAGAGAUAAAAGGCUGGUUGAAUGAGUUGUCUAUGAAAGCUACUUCAUCUGUAAGAAAACAGGCGGCUGCACCAGUGACUUUGUCACUGUGUUAACCACAACCA